GAUGAACGCUAGCGGCAGGCCUAACACAUGCAAGUCGAGGGGUAGAGUUAGCUUGCUAACUUGAGACCGGCGCACGGGUGCGUAACGCGUAUGCAAUCUACCUUAUACAGAGGGAUAGCCCAGAGAAAUUUGGAUUAAUACCUCAUAGUAUUAUCGAGUGGCAUCAUUUGAUAAUUAAAGUUCCAACGGUAUAAGAUGAGCAUGCGUCCCAUUAGUUAGUUGGUAAGGUAACGGCUUACCAAGACUAUGAUGGGUAGGGGUCCUGAGAGGGAGAUCCCCCACACUGGUACUGAGACACGGACCAGACUCCUACGGGAGGCAGCAGUGAGGAAUAUUGGACAAUGGGCGCAAGCCUGAUCCAGCCAUGCCGCGUGCAGGAAGGACGGCCCUAUGGGUUGUAAACUGCUUUUGUACGGGAAGAACACCCCCUCGUGAGGGGGCUUGACGGUACCGUAAGAAUAAGGAUCGGCUAACUCCGUGCCAGCAGCCGCGGUAAAGUCAG
rnacentral:rRNA from 1 species